GCAGCGCGGGGAGCUUGCUCCCUGGCGGCGAGUGGCGCACGGGUGAGUAAUACAUCGGAACGUGUCUUCUAGUGGGGGAUAACUGCCCGAAAGGGCAGCUAAUACCGCAUGAGACCUGAGGGUGAAAGCGGGGGAUCGCAAGACCUCCCGCUGGAAGAACGGCCGAUGUCCGAUUAGCUAGUUGGUGAGGUUAAGGCUCACCCAGGGCGACAUUGGUAGCUUGUCUGAGAGGACGACCAGCCACACUGGGACUGAGACACGGCCCAGACUCCUACGGGAGGCAGCAGUGGGGAAUUUUGGACAAUGGGGGCAACCCUGAUCCAGCCAUGCCGCGUGCAGGAUGAAGGUCUUCGGAUUGUAAACUGCUUUUGUCAGGGACGAAAAGGGAUGCGAUAACACCGCAUUCCGCUGACGGUACCUGAAGAAUAAGCACCGGCUAACUACGUGCCAGCAGCCGCGGUAAUACGUAGGGUGCAAGCGUUAAUCGGAAUUACUGGGCGUAAAGCGUGCGCAGGCGGUUCUGUAAGAUAGAUGUGAAAUCCCCGGGCUCAACCUGGGAAUUGCAUAUAUGACUGCAGGACUUGAGUUUGUCAGAGGAGGGUGGAAUUCCACGUGUAGCAGUGAAAUGCGUAGAUAUGUGGAAGAACACCGAUGGCGAAGGCAGCCCUCUGGGACUGACUGACGCUCAUGCA
rnacentral:rRNA from 1 species